ensembl:lncRNA
CAAAGCAAGUUUAUUUGAUUACUUAUUCCAGGCAAAUAAUGAGGUUCAUGUGUACAACUAAGAAAUCAGACAAUCCAAAUAAAAGGCAGCGUAAAUUAAUAUGAACUACACAAACAGCUAGCUAGAAAGGAACAGCAGCUGCAUUCAUUUUACAUAGUACUGUGGAGUGAUGUAGCACCAUUAAUCUCAAAUAUAUCCUAAGUACUUUCUAAGAUACGUGGGUCUUCGUUCAAAUGUAGCAAUAGCUUAAAAAUUAUAGCAAGCUUGAUGAUCAUCUUAUGUUCAACUAAUUUCAGAUAUUAAAGUAUAUCCGAAAAAUUAUUUCAGAAAAAAUAGGGGCCAGGAACAGUGGCUUACACCUGUAAUCCCAGUACUUUGGGAGGCCGAGGGCAGGUGCAUCACUUGAGCUGAGUUUGAGACCAGCCUGGCCAACGUGUUGAAACCCCGUUUCUACAAAAAUACAAAAAUUAGCCAGGCGUGGUGGUGGGUGCCCGUAGUCCCAGCUACUUGGGAGGCUGAGGUAGGAGAAUCGCUUGCACCUGGGAGGUGGAGGUUGCAAUGAGCCAAGAUUGCACCACUGCAUUCCAGCCUUCCAGCCUGGGUGACAGAGCGAGACUCCGUCUCCAAAAAAAAAAAAAAAAAAAGAAAAAAAAAAGAAAAAAGAAAAGAAAAAAUAGAAAAUUUGGGGGAUGAUGUGACCUUGUACAAUUGGGGGGGAAAAAAAAACACCAUUAUUGAGACUGGUUUUCUUCCAUCAUCUGCACUAUUUGCUACUUUGACCAAUUUAAAUUCUAAGCUUUGGAUGAUUUAAUAGGUAGUUAUUUGACAACACGUACAAUUUUAUUUAUACAAGUUUCCAUCCCCCCAAAAACAAACGCUCUUAUAUUUAUUGGUCUGUUUAGUUUGUUCUGGCCUGAACUACAAACACAGAGGAGCAAAAGAGGUUUCAUGCUACAGAACUCAACAUUUUGGGAUCUUUAAUGAUUUAUUCUAUUUUCUACCAUUUCUAAUGAUCAUUCUGAGCUAUUGUACUCUGAUAAUAUUGGGUUGAAAUUUGCUGAACUAAAGUUUGACCCUGUUAACGAAUCUAAGUUAUCAUGAGGUCAUCUGUAAAUUUAAGAUUAAGCAUUUUUCUAAAUACCGAGGACUUUACAGUUUCAUCUUAAGUUAUAAACUUAGAAAUUCAGAAUUCCAGAGUCCCUCACCAGCCCAUUUUACUAGUUAGGAGCCACAGCACAUUUUCAGAAAUAUAUCACAGCAAAAUCAAAAGGAGGAAAUUAUGUAAUAUUCCAGGAUUAUUCAAUCCUGGUGGUUCCUAACCCUAACUCCCAUACUUUUUUAGGGUAAUGAAUCACUUCGAGAAGCUGAUCUAAACUAUACACUUCCCCCCAGAAAAAUCCAUGUAAACUAGAACUUCUUAUACACAAUUACAAAGGAUUCCCUAAGGGUUCAUGAUUCUCAAGUUAGGAAUUCCUAUUUCAAAGGUGUGGAAUAUAGUGGAAAAUAAGUUUAGCCAUUUUGAUAUUGCCCAUCUUUACCUAAUUGCUACUAUAGUGAAGUAAGCAUUUUAAUAAUGCUACUAAAUUGCUGCUUUAAAACAAAGCACUCAUUUUAAACACUAAUACAGACUUUUAAAAUUCAUUCUCCUGGCUAAGCUUGGUAGCUUAUGCCUGUAAUCCCAGCAC